GAUGCUAUAGGAGGGUGGAGGGGAGGUACUGGUCUUAGGGGAACACUUGUGGUAUGCUGUGGGUGAAAUCUGGUUCUUUUCAAAUGCAAAAAAAAAGGCAAAAAUAUUAAGAGACCAGAAUAAAUCAACUCACUCUUGGUCAUGCUGCUUUAGCCCUACCGGUUCCUCCACUUCAGUUCAAGAUUGAUGAUGCACAGUGCACAAGGAACUCAGCCUGAUUUUCAGAUACCAGACUCAGCUUGUAGUGCUGGCAGGUAGAAAAAAUCUUGUCUUGACUUGCCAACUGAGGAAGUCUUAUAAAAUCACUGAUACUGAAUAAAUAUGGAAGAUCUGGAUUUAAUCGUUUACACAACCACUUCUGACCCACAAGAAAGGCAUGCAUGUGUGGAGUGGAGGGAAGGCAUUGACCUCUGCCGAAAACUAAAUUUACUGUACAGUGGUGUGAUGAUGUUUACACACGAGCACCUGAGAAUUAAAGAGGCUAAUGCAGAGAAUAGGAAGGAGCAUAUGACCCAGGUUAAGCUAGAAAGAGUAGCCCUACAGAAGGCAGAGAGUUGAUUGAGGGAAGGAUGUUCUCUGUAAGGGUGAAGCUUACCCCUGGGCAUUGAGUAUUACAGAACCGAUACAGCUACUGGAGUGGGACCUUGAUUCCUUCCAGGCUUACACAUCGGCAGCAGAAUGAUGGAAGGUACACUGGGGAUAAAUCUACAGAAAUCUAUGGAACAAUCCUGCCCUGCUUCUGUGACUAGAGAAGCUGAGCUAGGCGACCCAACUUGGAUAUAAUGUGGUCUGGGGGGUGUUGUGCCACGAUGUAGAUCUACUUGUUAUUCUUCCUGCAAGCGCAUCUGGAAGCCUUCAAGUCUUCAGCAUGAUCCAGGAGCAUGACCUGUCCACUCAAGAUGAUCAAACCGUAUUUUAAACAUGUUGAUACCAUCAGGUAAUCAGGUCCUGCAACAUGGUAUCUCUAGAACAUAGAUGAGACAUAAGAGUGCAGUGGGAGGUAGGAAGAAGCAUAUAAUGAAGUUAUCAAAUCCAUGCAGAUUUCUUCAGAAGGCUCCAAUGGCUUUCUGCAGCGAUGAACUGACUGAUUUUGACUGGCUGCAGCAGAAGUCUGGUUAUUAUUUCUGCUUAAUGAACUCCUUAAUUAGUCUCUUCUCUGUGUAAAGAACAUAAUCAUUCCAGACAGCAGAUGCAUGAGGAGGCAAUGUCACUUUGGCUUGCAGUCAACAAACAUUUUAAAUACCCCAGUAUUCAUUCUUAGCUACUGUCUGAUUUAACUCUAAAAAUACAGCAUCACAUGUUGUACGUAGGACUGUCUUGCAGGCCAAAUAUAUAGUACAAAGGACUGAGCUGCCAAAUUAGACUUUUUCUCUUGCAACCAAUUCUAGAUCUCUCCUGCCUACAAUACAGACCAAAUUAUUAUCUUAGAAUACGUGUUAGCCUCACAAGCAGGGGGAAAAACUCCAUGGCAGUACAAAUGUGUUUUCCUAUGUGUGUAUUAAAAACACCAGGAAAACACAUUUAUACCCCUGCGAUGGAAUUUUUUCCCCUCCUUAUGUGCACAACAUAUGUUAUAAGAUGGCUUAUAUAAUGUAAACAUAAUUUAGUGCAGACCAGGGCCAAAGGCUGGGUAUGUCUGUAGCAUUGGCCCUGUUCCUACUUUGGCCUGAAACAUGUUGCAACCAGGCUCAUGAUUGUUGGCCAUGAUUCUGUGCUUGAUGACCUUUCUCCAGCAUAGAGGUACUAUUAUGGACAGGGAUAUUUUUAAACCAUCAUGAUACAUGGUACCCCUAGGCUGUCUUUACUUUGCGGUUUUUCUUAAGAUGUCCCUAUAUCUCACUAUACCCAUUGCAGCUCUCUCAGCAAUAUCAAUGAUGGCCGUGCUAGUAUAGACAGCACGGUGUCUUCUAAAUGCAGCUCAGAGCAAGUCUCCAUGACAUGGGUGGUAAAAACACAGUGGCCUCUAGCCCGUUCUCUGUAGUGAGAAACCUUGACUAUUGGGCCAGUACAAAGUAAAGAAUAAAUAACACUUGGCUCUUAUUUACCAAGUUCCAUCCAUCAGCCGCAAAGUGUUUCGCAAAGGAGGGUAGAUAUCAUCAUUCUCAUUCAUUGUAAUUUACAGACUGGCCCUUUUGGGGAGCUGCAGAGGGCGCUUUAGGGGGAAUUCUGUCUCAGCAGCCACAAUGGAUAUGCCCACACAGCAAGACCAAACCCGUGGCAGCAAGUCUCAGAGACUGGGCCUGCAGACCCAGCCUCAUGCUACAGUGCUAUAAAUAGCUGUGUAAACAUUCAGGCAUGGGCUGUGAAACCCAUCCCCUCCCUGGCUUCAGAGCCCAAGCUCCAGCCUGAGCUGGACUCUCUACAUGGCUAUUUUUAGCACCAUAGCAGAGACCAGGUCUUUGCUGCUGCGGUUAUUGUUUGGUUACUGUUUUACUGUGUAGACGAACCCAGUAUCUCCUCCCAGCAACCAGGGGAGUAUGUAGAGAGUACCACAUCCCUUUGGAUGGUGCUAUCUGGUUGGCUGGUGCACUGUAUGGGUGGGUCAAUGGCCAUGCCUCUCCCACUGCCACUCAUCUGGGAUGAUUAGCAAACACUAGGAAGAAGCAUUUCCUAGAGCAUGGGGAUUGCUAUUGUGCACUCCCCCCACCUAGGCAUCAUUGUUAGAGACAGACACAGUGGACCAUUAAAGCUAGAUUCUGCAAAUGGAACCAUCAAGAUACACCCCUCUGCCCCUACACACCCACCUGUUUACUGGCUAGAGCACUGGACUAGGAUUGAGACAAUUUGGGUUCUAGUCCUGGCUCUGCUUCUGGGUGACCUUGGGCAAGU